CUUGUCUCAAAGAUUAAGCCAUGCAUGUCUCAGUACAAGCCGCAUUAAGGUGAAACCGCGAAUGGCUCAUUAAAUCAGUUAUGGUUCCUUAGAUCGUACCCACGUUACUUGGAUAACUGUGGUAAUUCUAGAGCUAAUACAUGCAAACAGAGUCCCGACCAGAGAUGGGAGGGACGCUUUUAUUARAUCAAAACCAAUCGGUCGGCUCGUCCGGUCCGUUUGCCUUGGUGACUCUGAAUAACUUUGGGCUGAUCGCACGGUCUCCGUACCGGCGACGCAUCUUUCAAAUGUCUGCCUUAUCAACUGUCGAUGGUAGGUUCUGCGCCUACCAUGGUUGUAACGGGUAACGGGGAAUCAGGGUUCGAUUCCGGAGAGGGAGCCUGAGAAACGGCUACCACAUCCAAGGAAGGCAGCAGGCGCGCAAAUUACCCACUCCCGGCACGGGGAGGUAGUGACGAAAAAUAACGAUACGGGACUCAUCCGAGGCCCCGUAAUCGGAAUGAGUACACUUUAAAUCCUUUAACGAGUAUCUAUUGGAGGGCAAGUCUGGUGCCAGCAGCCGCGGUAAUUCCAGCUCCAAUAGCGUAUAUUAAAGUUGUUGCGGUUAAAAAGCUCGUAGUUGGAUUUGUGUCCCACGCUGUUGGUUCACCGCCCGUCGGUGUUUAACUGGCAUGUAUCGUGGGACGUCCUGCCGGUGGGGCGAGCCGAAGGCGCGCGGCGCGCCUUGUGCGUGGCCGUGCGUCCCGAGGCGGACCCCGUUGAAAUCCUACCGCGGUGCUCUUUACCGAGUGUCGAGGUGGGCCGGCACGUUUACUUUGAACAAAUUAGAGUGCUUAAAGCAGGCAAGCCCGCCUGAAUACUGUGUGCAUGGAAUAAUGGAAUAGGACCUCGGUUCUAUUUUGUUGGUUUUCGGAACCCGAGGUAAUGAUUAAUAGGGACAGGCGGGGGCAUUCGUAUUGCGACGUUAGAGGUGAAAUUCUUGGAUCGUCGCAAGACGAACAGAAGCGAAAGCAUUUGCCAAGUAUGUUUUCAUUAAUCAAGAACGAAAGUUAGAGGUUCGAAGGCGAUCAGAUACCGCCCUAGUUCUAACCAUAAACGAUGCCAGCCAGCGAUCCGCCGCAGUUCCUCCGAUGACUCGGCGGGCAGCCUCCGGGAAACCAAAGCUUUUGGGUUCCGGGGGAAGUAUGGUUGCAAAGCUGAAACUUAAAGGAAUUGACGGAAGGGCACCACCAGGAGUGGAGCCUGCGGCUUAAUUUGACUCAACACGGGAAACCUCACCAGGCCCGGACACCGGAAGGAUUGACAGAUUGAUAGCUCUUUCUUGAUUCGGUGGGUGGUGGUGCAUGGCCGUUCUUAGUUGGUGGAGCGAUUUGUCUGGUUAAUUCCGAUAACGAACGAGACUCUAGCCUGCUAACUAGUCGCGUGACAUCCUUCGUGCUGUCAGCGAUUACUUUUCUUCUUAGAGGGA
rnacentral:rRNA from 1 species